AACCUUACCUACCCUUGACAUCCUCGGAACUUGUCAGAGAUGAUUUGGUGCCUUCGGGAACCGAGUGACAGGUGCUGCAUGGCUGUCGUCAGCUCGUGUCGAGUCCCGUAACGAGCGCAACCCUCGUCCUUAGUUGCCAGCGAGUCAAGUCGGGAACUCUAAGGAGACUGCCGGUGAUAAACCGGAGGAAGGUGGGGAUGAUGUCAAGUCAUCAUGGCCCUUACGGGUAGGGCUACACACGUGCUACAAUGGGCAGUACAAAGGGUUGCCAAGCCGCGAGGUGGAGCUAAUCCCAGAAAACUGCUCGUAGUCCGGAUUGGAGUCUGCAACUCGACUCCAUGAAGUUGGAAUCGCUAGUAAUCGCGAAUCAGCAUGUCGCAUAAU
rnacentral:rRNA from 1 species